AACGAACGCUGGCGGCAGGCCUAACACAUGCAAGUCGAACGCUGUAGCAAUACAGAGUGGCAGACGGGUGAGUAACGCGUGGGAACAUACCCUUCGGUUCGGAAUAACUCAGGGGAAACUUGAGCUAAUACCGGAUACGUGCGAGAGCAGAAAGAUUCAUCGCCGAAGGAUUGGACCCGCGUUCGAUUAGCUUGUUGGUGAGGUAAUGGCUCACCAAGGCGACGAUCGAUAGCUGGUCUGAGAGGAUGAUCAGCCACAUUGGGACGUGAGACACGGACCCAAACUCCUACGGGAGGCAGCAGUGGGGAAUAGUUGGAC
rnacentral:rRNA from 1 species